GGCGGACAUACCCGUACAGUUCUUGCAAUUCACGAAGGCGAGAGAACUUUACUUGUGGUUACGUCGUAUGCAUGGGCAUUGCGUAAGUGUGCGUGCAUGUUGGACCAAUCAGUCGCGAGCAAGCGCUCGCAAACGCACACAU